GACGGAGGGUGCGAGCGUUGUCCGGAAUCACUGGGCGUAAAGGGCGCGUAGGCGGCCUGAUAAGUAGGGGGUGAAAUCCUGCGGCUUAACCGCAGGGCUGCCUUCUAAACUGUCAGGCUUGAGCACAGUAGAGGCAGGUGGAAUUCCCGGUGUAGCGGUGGAAUGCGUAGAGAUCGGGAAGAACAUCAGUGGCGAAGGCGGCCUGCUGGGCUGUUGCUGACGCUGAGGCGCGACAGCGUGGGGAGCAAACAGG
rnacentral:rRNA from 1 species